UGUAAAUCUUAAUGUUAAAGCUGCUUGGUCCGAUUUUCAAUAAAAUAAUUGUACGCUUUUAAACGAUGGUUAUGCUAAGUAUGUGUGCAAUAAUAUACGUUGCAGUACAUGUAGUUUUCCCUGUCAAUUAAGCCAUAUUUCAAUGAAAAAAUUAUGUACAUGUUGAAACUCGUUGAAUCCGGAUGUUGUUUAUUACGGCAUGCUGCCCAAUCCGGCGACAUUAUUCAGCCCCUUGACAUUUUCCCAUCAUUUUUGUUUUAAAAAUAAUUGUGCAAUCCGGAUCCUAUCUAUUCUGUUAACCGGCGCAAUGAAAAAGCCUACUGCAUAUUAUUAGUGAGAGUUAUCUCCCGUAGUCCGUCCACUUAUCGAUCGAUCGGCCUUCUGCGAGAUAUUAAUGCUCAAUUAUUGACCAAUUUUUCUGUCGUUGCUAUUGAUUUAAACAACUGUUAAUAUAGAUCCAAAGAAGCAACUUUUUUCAGUUAAUACCGUAAAGUCUUGUUAUGAAUUGCAAUUGGAUAAUUAGAUUAUAGUUCAUCCAAUUUUUUUAAGGCCGUGAUUCAGGAUACUGCGGGAGUAAGACUGCCGAUAUCGUUUGUUAUCCCCGUUGCAUGGCUACACGUAAAUCGGAUGUUUGAAAGAUUAUCAAUAACGACGAUUUAAUUCAAGGAUUUCCAUCAACCACCCUCCGCCGGAUUAGACAAGUUUUGUUGUGUAUUCGCAAAAUAAUCGACAUAAAAGGGUUUUGCGUUAUUUCGCCGCGUGUUUAAACUGGCCCCUUACGUCGAAGCUAGUAUGAUUGUAUUACG